CUCCGGUGAUCCCCGCCGGACCCGACUGCUAUCAGAGUGGGACUAAGCCAUGCGAGUCAACAUAGCAAUAUGUGGCAUACGGCUCAGUAACACGUAGUCAACAUGCCCAGGGGACGUGGAUAACCUCGGGAAACUGAGGAUAAACCGCGAUAGGUCAUCACUUCUGGAAUGGGUAAUGACUUAAAUCUAUAUGGCCCCUGGAUUGGACUGCGGCCGAUCAGGCUGUUGGUGAGGUAAUGGCCCACCAAACCUGUAACCGGUACGGGCUCUGAGAGGAGGAGCCCGGAGAUGGGCACUGGGACAAGGGCCCAGGCCCUAUGGGGCGCAGCAGGCGCGAAACCUCUGCAAUAGGCGAAAGCUUGACAGGGUUACUCUGAGUGAUUUCCGUUAAGGAGAUCUUUUGGCACCUCUAAAAAUGGUGCAGAAUAAGGGGUGGGCAAGUCUGGUGUCAGCCGCCGCGGUAAUACCAGCACCCCGAGUGGUCGGGACGUUUAUUGGGCCUAAAGCAUCCGUAGCCGGUUCUACAAGUCUUCCGUUAAAUCCACCUGCUUAACAGAUGGGCUGCGGAAGAUACUAUAGAGCUAGGAGGCGGGAGAGGCAAGCGGUACUCGAUGGGUAGGGGUAAAAUCCGUUGAUCCAUUGAAGACCACCAGUGGCGAAGGCGGCUUGCCAGAACGCGCUCGACGGUGAGGGAUGAAAGCUGGGGGAGCAAACCGGAUUAGAUACCCGGGUAGUCCCAGCUGUAAACGAUGCAGACUCGGUGAUGAGUUGGCUUAUUGCUAACUCAGUGCCGCAGGGAAGCCGUUAAGUUUGCCGCCUGGGGAGUACGGUCGCAAGACUGAAACUUAAAGGAAUUGGCGGGGGAGCA
rnacentral:rRNA from 1 species